rnacentral:rRNA from 1 species
UCGGGAAUUUUGGGCAAUGGGCGCAAGCCUGACCCAGCAACGCCGCGUGAGGGAUGAAGGCCUUCGGGUCGUAAACCUCUGUCAGGAGGGAAGAACGUCGUCGGGUGAAUAAUCCGGCGAUCUGACGGUACCUCCAAAGGAAGCACCGGCUAACUCCGUGCCAGCAGCCGCGGUAAUACGGAGGGUGCAAGCGUUGUUCGGAAUCAUUGGGCGUAAAGCGGGGGUAGGCGGUUUGGCAAGUCGGAUGUGAAAUCCCAGGGCCCAACCCUGGAACUGCAUUCGAAACUGCCUCACUAGAGUCCCGGAGAGGAUGGCGGAAUUCCCGGUGUAGAGGUGAAAUUCGUAGAUAUCGGGAGGAACACCAGUGGCGAAGGCGGCCAUCUGGACGGUGACUGACGCUGAGACCCGAAAGUGUGGGGAGCAAACAGGAUUAGAUACCCGUGUAGUCC